rnacentral:rRNA from 1 species
CUACGGGUGGCAGCAGUGGGGAAUAUUGCACAAUGGGCGCAAGCCUGAUGCAGCCACGCCGCGUGUAUGAAGAAGGCCUUCGGGUUGUAAAGUACUUUCAGCGGGGAGGAAGGGAGUAAAGUUAAUACCUUUGCUCAUUGACGUUACCCGCAGAAGAAGCACCGGCUAACUCCGUGCCAGCAGCCGCGGUAAUACGGAGGGUGCAAGCGUUAAUCGGAAUUACUGGGCGUAAAGCGCACGCAGGCGGUUUGUUAAGUCAGAUGUGAAAUCCCCGGGCUCAACCUGGGAACUGCAUCUGAUACUGGCGAGCUUGAGUCUCGUAGAGGGGGGUAGAAUUCCAGGUGCAGCGGUGAAAUGCGUAGAGAUCUGGAGGAAUACCGGUGGCGAAGGCGGCCCCCUGGACGAAGACUGACGCUCAGGUGCGAAAGCGUGGGGAGCAAACAGGAUUAGAUACCCCAGUAGUC